UCUUUUCUUUGCUGGCGACCGGCGCACGGGUGAGUAACACGUAUCCAACCUGCCCUUUACUCGGGGAUAGCCUUUCGAAAGAAAGAUUAAUACCCGAUAGUAUAAUGAUUCCGCAUGGUUUCAUUAUUAAAGGAUUCCGGUAAAGGAUGGGGAUGCGUUCCAUUAGGUUGUUGGUGAGGUAACGGCUCACCAAGCCUUCGAUGGAUAGGGGUUCUGAGAGGAAGGUCCCCCACAUUGGAACUGAGACACGGUCCAA
rnacentral:rRNA from 1 species